AUUGAACGCUGGCGGCAUGCCUUACACAUGCAAGUCGAACGGCAGCACGGGAGCAAUCCUGGUGGCGAGUGGCGAACGGGUGAGUAAUAUAUCGGAACGUGCCCAGUCGUGGGGGAUAACGCAGCGAAAGCUGUGCUAAUACCGCAUACGAUCUAUGGAUGAAAGCGGGGGAUCGCAAGACCUCGCGCGAUUGGAGCGGCCGAUAUCAGAUUAGCUAGUUGGUGAGGUAAAGGCUCACCAAGGCGACGGUCUGUAGCUGGUCUGAGAGGACGACCAGCCACACUGGAACUGAGACACGGUCCAGACUCCUACGGGAGGCAGCAGAGGGGAAUUUUGGACAACGGGCGAAAGCCUGAUCCAGCAAUGCCGCGUGCAGGAUGAAGGCCUUCGGGUUGUAAACUGCUUUUGUACGGAACGAAACGGUGAGCUCUAAUACAGUUUGCUAAUGACGGUACCGUAAGAAUAAGCACCGGCUAACUACGUGCCAGCCGCCGCAGUAA
rnacentral:rRNA from 1 species